GACAUGUGCACCUCCAGUGUGUCCUCAAAGGCUUCAGUCCUUCAUGAGUUCUCAUCUUUCUCUCAUGAGGCCUGCAGUUAGCAUUACCUUCAUGGUUCUCAUCUUUCUUGCUAUCCUCUAUGACCGGAGAUCUACUCAGACUGCCUUCUAGCAGGUCCUCAAUGAGGUUCAGGCUCAAAACGAGAACCAAGGAUAGUGACUGAUGGUGCUGGAGGAUAGAAAACAUCCAAUAGCCAGCAACAUAGAAACUUCACAGGACUCUGUGGACUGUGUGGAUGACAGUGCACAUCCUUUAAAUCUAAUCUCCAGGUUUCAGUGACUUCUGUUUGCUACAGUGAAUGGUGUGAGCCUUGUCUAGUUUACUACCAGGCACAGAUGGAGUUCUUAGAACUCCCUUUGAAAACAUUUAGACAUGUGUAGAAAUCAGGAAGUAAAGAUUGAGUGUUUUGAAAGACACGAGUCCUGCCAAUGGAACUAUGCAAGCCCACGACAUUCUCCUUUCCUUCAUGUUUAUCUUUGCCUUCCUUUGAAGAAUGACUUACAGCAAGUAACUUGCCUUCCAAAGCCUCUGACUUACAGAUCCAUAAAGAAAACUAUGAAUUUUAGAUUUCAAGUACUAAGUAUUAGUCAGAGUGCUUCAAAAAAAUAAAAGAAAUAGAACCAAUUGU
rnacentral:lncRNA from 1 species